AUCGCUUCUUGACCUUUUGGCCAAGACCAAGUGUAAUACCUGUUCUUAUCAGUGUAAUAUCUGAUACGUCCUCUAUCCGAGGACAUUAUAUUAAAUGGAUUUUUGGAAUUAGGAGAUGAACUAGGAGCUGCUCCGUCCACUCCACGCAUCUACCUGGUAUUGCAGUACUUCCAGGAAUGGUGCAGUCCCC
rnacentral:snRNA from 1 species